GACGAACGCUGGCGGCGUGCUUAACACAUGCAAGUCGAACGGAAAGGCCCUGCUUGCAGGGUACUCGAGUGGCGAACGCGUGAGUAACACGUGGGUGUUCUCCGCUGUACUCCGUGAUAUGCCUGGGAAACUGGGUGUAUUAUCGGAUAGGAGCCAUCCUUAUGGUGAUGGUUGGAAAGAUUUUUCGGUUUGGGAUGGACUCGCGGCCUAUCAGCUUGUUGGUGGGGUAGUGGCUUACCAAGGCGGCGACGGGUAGCCGGCCUGAGAGGGUGGACGGCCACAUUGGGACUGAGAUACGGCCCAGACUCCUACGGGAGGCAGCAGUGGGGAAUAUUGCACAAUGGGCGGAAGCCUGAUGCAGCAACGCCGCGUGCGGGAUGACGGCCUUCGGGUUGUAAACCGCUUUCGCUAGGGACGAAGCUUUAGGGACGGGAACCGGUAUAGAAGGAACGGCCAACUACGGU
rnacentral:rRNA from 1 species